AUGAAGAGCAAAGGAUGUGUUUUAGGGAUGGAGUGGAAGAGAAAGAUCUGCACCUGGGUCAGAGCACAGCAAACCAGCGAACCCUCAGAAGUGACCAUUUAUACAAGAGUUCAGGAGUCUGCGCGCCGUCUUUCUCGUGUGGGUUUGAAGCCUUGGGCCGCGGUGAAGGGGUUAUUUGAGCAGCUUCCAUCUACCGCUGGACCCGUUCCAAGGGAAAGUGUAGAGUUGGGCCAAAAUCCGUGGACAGCUACUGAUGAGAUCUGCCGAGUCCAAAAAUGUGAGUGUAAUAAAACAACAGCAUGAGGAAAAGCUGGACGUCCUCCUGGGCUGCAUUAGCGAGAUCUGAAUCGUUUGCGGUGGAUUGCGAGGGAUUCGCACACUUCUGAGGAGCCGAUUUGAAAUGGACGCAGAGGUUAAAGGUCAAGUUCACCUCGUUUCCCAGUGGUUUAUUUGAUUUCACUGCAUCUUCUCUCUAGCUUACAUUUAAGUGGACAAUAACUUGAGAGGCACACUAAAACCUCAAUUAUAACAAUAUAUUACAAAACAAUAAUUGGAAAAAAACUGUACUGUACAUUAGAGAAAAGUGUUUCUGAUAUACCUGACUUUUAAAAAAAAUAAUCAUAAAAUUUUAUAUUUAUUAUUAAUUGUGAUACACAAGCAUGAAGACAGGGAAAUGAUAAUAUUUGGUGGUUUAAAAUGCUGUAAAAUUAAAAAAAAAAAUUAAAUCAGCUGUAUUCGUACUGUACUGGGUUACAAAGAUAUACCUGUACAUUUGGGGGAAAUCCUUUGUUAGUCAAGUCAAGUCUGCUUUAUUGUCAAUUCUUCCACAUGUACAGUACAUACAUACAGAGAAUCGAAAUUGCGUUACUCUCAGACCCCCGGUGCAUACAGAUAACACAAACCGUAGAGCCUAAAAAUCUAGAUCAAAUAUAAAAUAUAAGAUAAAACUAUACAAUAAGGGAAUGUAAAAAAGUAUCACGGAAACAUGGUAUAUAAAAAUAUAUAGUAAAAAUAAGAUAGACGCCAUGGAGGCACAGGGAAAAUUGUAAUUUGGUGGUUUAAAAUGCUGUGAAAUGUUUCAAAAUAAUCUUUAUAUCAAUCAGCAAUAAGACCAUGAUCUUUUUUCGGGGACAUAAAAUGCACUAAAUACCAGGAAUGACUCAUAACCUGUAUUAAAAUUAACGAGCAUUAAAUAAACGUUUGUUAAUAGUAACUGUUACA
ensembl:lncRNA